UCUUGUAUUAAUGUCUGGUCUUCUACCAAAUUCAAAACUCGAAACCUCUGUUCUCUCCAUAUGGCUUUCAAGCACAUCAUUGCAUUACAACAUACCAUUGGCGAUCAGUGUAGCUGCAAGGGAUCGUCAGAGGAAUUGGCUGGCAACAUAUUGGAGCCUAUGCU